rnacentral:rRNA from 1 species
UACGUAGGGUGCAAGCGUUGUCCGGAAUUAUUGGGCGUAAAGAGCUCGUAGGCGGUUUGUUGCGUCGGCUGUGAAAUCCCGAGGCUCAACCUCGGGUCUGCAGUCGAUACGAGCAAACUAGAGUGUUGCAGGGGAGACUGGAAUUCCUGGUGUAGCGGUGAAAUGCGCAGAUAUCAGGAGGAACACCGGUGGCGAAGGCAGCACUCUGGGACGUGGCUGACGCUGAGACGCGAAAGCGUGGGGAGCAAACAGG